AAGAGGACGUUGCCCUUCGGGGUAUACCUCCCACCCUUUGUUAUUAUACCUUUGUUGCUUUGGCGGGCCCGUCCUCGGACCACCGGCUUCUGCUGGUCAGUGCCCGCCAGAGGACCUAAAACUUCUGUUUGUUAAUAUUGUCUGAGUACUAUAUAAUAGUUA
rnacentral:misc_RNA from 1 species